CUGAAGAAAAAACAAACAAAAAACAAGCAGACAGUGCAGAAGAUGGUACACUUUAUACAGUCACACACAAAUAUUUGUGAUACAUAUAUUUGUGUGUGUGUAUAUAUAUAUAAAGUGUACCAUCUUCUGCACUGUCUGCUUGUUUUUUUUUUUUUUUUCUCCCUCU
rnacentral:miRNA from 1 species